rnacentral:rRNA from 1 species
UACGUAGGGCGCGAGCGUUGUCCGGAAUUACUGGGCGUAAAGGGCGCGUAGGCGGUCUUGUAAGUCUUGUGUGAAAUCCCUCGGCUUAACUGAGGAACUGCACGAGAUACUGCGAGACUUGAGUUCGGGAGAGGAAAGCGGAAUUCCGGGUGUAGCGGUGAAAUGCGUAGAUAUCCGGAGGAACACCGGUGGCGAAGGCGGCUUUCUGGACCGACACUGACGCUGAGGCGCGAAAGCUAGGGGAGCAAACGGG